rnacentral:rRNA from 2 species
GGACCAAGGAGUCUAGCAUGUGCGCGAGUCAUUGGGAUAUUGACUAAACCUAAAGGCGCAAUGAAAGUGAAGGUCCGCCUUGCGCGGACCGAGGGAGGAUGGUCGGUCCCGAGGGACCGACUCGCACUCCCGGGGCGUCUCGUUCUCAUCGCGAGAAGAGGCGCACCCAGAGCGUACACGCUGGGACCCGAAAGAUGGUGAACUAUGCCUGGUCAGGACGAAGUCAGGGGAAACCCUGAUGGAGGUCCGUAGCGAUUCUGACGUGCAAAUCGAUCGUCGGAACUGGGUAUAGGGGCGAAAGACUAAUCGAACCAUCUAGUAGCUGGUUCCCUCCGAAGUUUCCCUCAGGAUAGCUGGCGCUCGCUUCUCGCGAGUCUCAUUCGGUAAAGCGAAUGAUUAGAGGCAUUGGGGUCGAAACGGCCUCAACCUAUUCUCAAACUUUAAAUGGGUGAGAUCUCCGGCUUGCUUGAACUGUGAAGCCGCGAGAUAUCGGAUCAGAGUGCCAAGUGGGCCACUUUUGGUAAGCAGAACUGGCGCUGUGGGAUGAACCAAACGCCGAGUUAAAGCGCCUAAAUCGACGCUUAUGGGAUACCAUGAAAGGCGUUGGUAACUUAAGACAGCAGGACGGUGGCCAUGGAAGUCGGA